ACCAGGUCGACCUGAUACUGCAACUUAGUAGCUGUAGAAUAAUUUUCUCACCCUUGUAAUGGCUCUUAUAGUCUGUCAUUUAGCGCGGUUUUAGCCCACAGUUCAGGGUUCUAAUCACACACACAUAACGUCUGUGGUUUUGCCUCCCAAAGCCGUUUCCAUCCUCUCUGUCUCUGUGACACAGCCACAGCUCUGAAUACACUGCACUUCCGUCUGCCUUUUCCCGCACCACAACUGCACUGUCAGCGAGUGGAUAUUCUUAGAGCCAAACCCGGGCGCUAAUCAACCUCGCUAGCCUAGCAUUGUUUAUCUGUGUGAGAUGACUUUGAUUCCUCAUUCUGUUCCUUCAGAAAAAAAGAUUUAUUUAAAUAAAUAGCUCUCACUUCCUUUGUCUCAAGCCAAGUCACUAUCAUAACAUGACCGGUCAGGGGGCCAGAGGAAGGUAACGGGGAGAUGGAGUGCGGCUGCAGGCUGCAGAUAGAAGAGGUGUACCCUGGGAAAGUGACCUACGUUUCGCCACACCUCAAAACUCACCUCUUCCCUCCAACCACCUAAACCACAUUCUGUAAAUAGAGAAAUAAAAGAUGAGAGAGUGUUGUGAAGUUCUCCUCCUCUAGCCGCUCAGUCUGGAGUCUUGGCCAAAUUUCCGCUGUGGUGUAGGUGUGGUGCCCGUCUCUCAUUCUUUCACAGAGACACAGAGACAGCAGAGAAGUGGGAGUGCUGUCGCUUGUGGCGGGCAGGAGACCAGCGAUCUGCCACGCCAAACCGGGCACCUCCACCAGAGCACCCGAGGGGUCGGGUGAGUCAAAGGUCCCGUCACGGCGGCCCGCAGGAACAUCCCUGACUUCCUGUUUCUGGAGGUGGUGGGGCGGCAGGAGGUGGACUGGAGGAGCGGUGAGACGGCUGCACACACAUUUACUGUGAGAAUGUCCGGGGGGAGUGCGGAGCAGACAGCCAGGCGAAGACCACUGUCACGUAGCCAACUUUCACCAUCUAUGAGAGGGAGAGACCUUCCCGUCCACCACGGCCCACGCAAUAUUUGCCAGUAAAUUACUGACGCAGCAGAAGCAUGUAUGUGUGAGUGUCACACCACCAUGGACUCUGUUUGUGUUUCCCGCUCCUUGUUGGUUGUCAAGAUU
ensembl:lncRNA